rnacentral:sRNA from 1 species
GCCGGGCAUAGUGGCUCAUGCCUGUAAUCCCAACACUUUGGGAGGCCAAGGCAGGAGGAUCACUUGUGGCCAGGAGUUGGAGACCAGCCUAGGCAACAUAGCAAGACCCCAUCUCUGUUGUUUUUUAAAUAGAUUUAAGGAAAAAAAAUUUUUUUUUAAAGUAAAGGCCGGGCAUGGUGCCUCACGCCUAUAAUCCCAGCACUUUGGGAGACUGAGGUGAGUGGAUCACUUGAGACCAGGAGUUCGAAACCAGCCUGGCCAACAUGGUGAAACCCCAUCUCU